GACGAACGCUGGCGGCGUGCUUAACACAUGCAAGUCGAACGGAGUGGCGAACGGGUGAGUAACACGUGGGUGACCUGCCCUGCACUUCGGGAUAAGCCUGGGAAACUGGGUCUAAUAACGGAUAGUGUGGGAUGGGCCCGCGGCCUAUCAGCUUGUUGGUGGGGUAAUGGCCUACCUAGGCGGCGACGGGUAGCCGGCCUGAGAGGGUGGACGGCCACAGUGGGACUGGGGCACGGACCGUACGCCGACGGGAGGCAGGGGGGGGGAAUAUUGCCCAAUGGGCGGAAGCCUGAUGCAGCGACGCCGGGUGGGGGAGGACGGCCUUCGGGGUGUAAACUCCUUUCACCAUCGACGCGGUAGAUGGAGAAGAAGCACCGGCUAACUACGUGCCAGCAGCCGCGGUAAUAC
rnacentral:rRNA from 1 species